UCUUCCUUUGGGGGUGCUCCUGAGUCUGUGGGUGCUGCCUGAGACUGAGAAUCACAGGGUCUCCUCCCUUGGACUGCUAAGACCAGAUGCCCCACCAGGAUUGGCCUCAGCCCCACCCCAGCCCUACCAUGGACAGCAGACUCUUCUGCUGUGUGAUCUUUGGUCUCCUGGGGGUAGGACACAUGGAAACUGGAAUCAGCCAAACUCCUAGCCACUAUAUCAGAGAGAUGGGACAGAACAUAUCUCUGAGAUGUGAGCCCAUUUCUAGUCAUUUUUACUUCUAUUGGUACCGACAGACCCUGGAAAAGGGAGUGGAGUUUUUGAUUUCUGUCUAUAACAAGGUUCCUUCAGAGAAGGCAGACUUUUUGAAGGACCGGUUCUCAGCUGAGAUGCCUGACGGAUCGCGCUUCACUCUGAAGAUCCAGCCUGUGCAGCUGGGAGACUCAGCUGUGUAUCUCUGUGCCAGCAGCUUAGCCACAGCCUUGCAAAGACACGUCCUGCCCUCACAUAAACUCAGCAGCUUCCCUGCUCCCCGCAGGCUCUCAGCAGCCCUGCCUGCCUGA